rnacentral:rRNA from 1 species
UACGUAGGUGGCAAGCGUUGUCCGGAUUUACUGGGCGUAAAGGGCGUGCAGGCGGUUUGUUAAGUGCAGGGUGAAAGCUCCCGGCUCAACUGGGAGAGGUCCUUGCAUACUGGCAGACUUGAGGGAGGCAGAGGAAAGUGGAAUUCCCGGUGUAGUGGUGAUAUGCGUAGAUAUCGGGAGGAACACCAGUGGCGAAGGCGGCUCACUGGUCCGCAACUGACGCUGAGGCGCGAAAGCGUGGGGAGCAAACGGG